UAAAAACCCUGACAUCCUCCCCUUAUGGGAGGAGAUUACCUAAUCAUUGAGCCUGGUUGUAUUCCUGAGACAAACUGGAGUGAUUGACAUGUUAGGAAAGCUGUGAGUAUCAUGCUGACAGGUGUGCAGCAAUGAGGCUCCACAGUGUGAGAAUCUCGCGAGAUCUCAACAAGAUCUCUAUGAUGUCAGAUGCUGAAGCUUUAAAAAGCUAUGCGACGGGAAAAAAAGCCCAUUUGCCUUGAUAAAGCGUUAUACUAACACACCAGCACCCCAAAGAACAACCAACAUCAACAAAACUCAUACAGCACUUGCUGCCUCUACUUUCAUACUUCUCUGUCAAUGAAAGAUGCCAAGAACGUUGAAUGACUGCCCUCAUGACUACAAGCAGCCUAUUCUUAUAAAGAUAGUAGUCUUUCAAAAGCAGACACAUAACUUUUACCAAAGCAGGCAACAGUACGUGAUAUUGUAAUUACUUUAAAAUGCUUUUAUUGUUUGGUGUUACUGUUCCUUGAAUGUAUUUUUUCCAUUUGUUGUAACAUUGUUGUGAACUUCUGCAUAACUUGUUAAAUAAAUAAAUCAAGAUGAUGAAUAUUUGC